UGUCUCACAGCUGAACGAGAAAAAGGGAAGCUGAGUACAUGUUAAGGAAAUGCCCAGGCUGCUUGCAUACUUAGAGAGUUUCGCAGGGCAAACGAGAAAUCCUUCCACACCAUACCUCAAAAUUGGUCUGCUCUUUUUCUCAGACUAGCAAAAGUUCACUGGAAGAUAUUGGUUCAAAUAGUUUCUUGUAAAGAAUUUUGAAAACGAUCUUAGAAGGGAAGAACCAUUAAGAGAAGUGAAACUGCGAUGAAGUCUUAGAAAAAUGGAAAAUAUGAAGAAGAAAUUCAGACUAAGCCCGUCUUGAUUCUGUUGAUAUAGCAAAAUCUGACUGCCUUUCAAGAUCCUGUAAUUAUGCCUUAUUACAAUAAAGUCACAAUUAAGAAUCU